ensembl:lncRNA
GCUGCACAGUAAUGUCUCUUAUCGAUGGAGGUUAUGAUGUCAUUUAGGACCUUGAGCGUGGCUGAAGUGCACCCAUUACCAGCUCUGAAACCAGAUUGCAUAGCGGAGAAGGUACGGUGGGAUUCAAAUUGGUCAGUGAUCUGUUUGUUCACUUGGCUUUCGAAGACUUUAGAAAGGCAGGGCAGGAUGGAUAUAGGUCUGUAACAGUUUGGGUCUAGAGGCAGGGCAGGAUGGAUAUAGGUCUGUAGCAGUUUGGGUCUAGAGGCAGGGCAGGAUGGAUAUAGGUCUGUAGCAGUUUGGGUCUAGAGGCAGGGCAGGAUGGAUAUAGG